UACCAGCACCCCGAGUGGUCGGGACGUUUAUUGGGCCUAAAGCAUCCGUAGCCGGUUCUACAAGUCUUCCGUUAAAUCCAGCUGCUUAACAGAUGGGCUGCGGAAGAUACUAUGGAGCUAGGAGGCGGGAGAGGCAAGCGGUACUCGAUGGGUAGGGGUAAAGUCCGUUGAUCCAUUGAAGACCACCAGUGGCGAAGGCGGCUUGCCAGAACGCGCUCGACGGUGAGGGAUGAAAGCUGGGGGAGCAAACCGG
rnacentral:rRNA from 1 species